AUCGGAAAAGUCAUGAUGCAUU
rnacentral:miRNA from 1 species